rnacentral:lncRNA from 1 species
CUGGUCUUGGUUUAUCUUCACAAAGUAUGUGACACUUCCUGUGUUAAAUUUUAUGUUGCUGCCAUCUGUCCGUAUUUUUAACCUGACUGACCAUCUUCAUUAUGGUGAUAUUUUCUUUAUUAAAUUCUUUUAAUAUGUAAAUCAUAUUAAUGAUGUUUAUAUAAUCAAUUUCAUCCCAUUCUGAUGACAAAUGAAAGCAUGCAUUAUGUUAGAAUAGUAGUAAAAGCCAACACUGUGCUAAGGAAGGGUUUAUCAGCUGGAGACUUUGCAUCGUUCUUGACAAAUUCAUUUGAACAGGAGGAACAACACCAUUUUAAGUAAUUUUUUUUUUCCUUUUUUAAUACUUAGGAUAAUUUAUUUGGAACACAUAAUUAAAAUCAUGAAAAGUUAAGUUUCCCUUCAAUUUCUUAGCUACUCCUCAAGUAUUAUUGGUAUUGUUCCUGUACAAGUUUGACUGAUACCAUUGGCAAGCACAUUUUAGGUUUAGCAUCAAGCAGCUCUGUACAAGCCCUGUGCUAAUAUCUGUGAUGGUAACCGUCAAUUAUGCAUGUUACCGAUUCUAAGUGAAACUUUCAACUGGGGCUAAAACUGUGGUUUGGGGAUUAAAUUUUUGUAUGUGCAUGUAUUCUUUUUCCACAUUACAUCUGCCUUUGAAGUAGCUCUGUCCAUACUUGAACAGCUGUGAUCUUCAGCUGUGUAUCUUUCAUGCUGUUUAUAAUUACAGUGCUGUUCAAAAUGUCUGUUCUGUUUGAUAUAAUCUAUAAUACUACUUUUAAAAUAAAUGGGCAGCUUAUUGAAAAUCAGAAUCAAUUUAAAUAUUAGCCAAUGACAGUAACAGAAACACAGGCCUAUGACAGGGUCUUGUAUUUAGAGUAAAAACUACAUUUCUAAUAUUAAUGAGUUCUUGAGUAGAUGCAUUUGUCUUUGUUAGUGUGUCUGGAUUUUGAACUGGAAAUAUUGCUUACUAAAAAAAAAAAAAAAGGAGGGUAAAAUCUUGUCUUUUGCUUAUUCUGAAUUAUUUUCCUUGAUAGCUGCUUUUGCAAUUGAUUUUCAGAUUUUAUAUCUGGCCUUGUUCUUGGUAUUUUAAAGUCAAUAAUCACAAGAAAGAUCUACUACCUCUCUUACUCAAUGGAAGCAUAAGCAAUAGCUGCCAAGACUUUCUCUUUCUGAAACACUUUCUCUUACUUUCUCUUACUUUCUCUUACUUUCUCUUCUCUAAAACAUAAAAAGUAAAAAAAAAAAAAAAAAAAAAAAAGAAAUCAUAUGCAACCUCUCCCUUAUCCUGUUCAGAAGUUGUCUUCCCCCUUUGUAACGUCAACCUUUUCACUUCUCUCUUUUUUCUUUUAGUGUCAUGUUCAUAAUAACUUCUACAUUUGCAAGCUAAACUCUUUCUUCCUGCCCCCCCCAAACAGCUUUCACUUGUUCUCUUGCAACUCAGCUUUUAUUUCUUCUAUUUAUAAAACUAUCUUAAGGCUCUAGAGAAGAACUUCUGCAUUUGUCUUUCAAAAUGCUUCUCAGGUUUGAUUAAAAUGCAGACUAUUAAAAUUAGUAUUUUGCUUACAGUGAAGAAUUGAAAGUUUACCAAACUCACUCAGUUUUCCAAGCCCAAGUUUGACCACACUGUGGUUGCAGUCAAGUGCCAUGCUUUUUUGAACUGUUUAAUGAAUGUCAAGUAUUACACACAGUCAUAUUUCAUGUCAAAGCCUCACUUUUUUGCAGUGUCAUGUUUUUGUCUCUUUGUUUGUUCAAAAAAAAGACCUGGCACAGCCAGAAUGCUGUUGAUGAAGUCAGAGUAUUUAGAUUCAGUAGUUUAUACUGAACUUUAUUCACAUCCAUUCAGGUGUUUGCAUUAUUCAUGGACUCUUGUAACUGCUUUGGUGGAUCAUGCAAAUUCACUGUCAAAGUAAUAUCUGAUGUGGAGUUAGUAGACAUCUGGAAAACAUUUUUUUUUCUUAUUUUUCUGCUUACAUAAAGUCUCUUAAGGUGCAGAUAAGCUUAAAAAAAAUAUAUAUAUUGAAAAUACAUAAUGAAAAUAUUUCCUUUGUAGCUCAACUUUAAUUGAAUUUCCAUUCUCUCCUUAUGCAUUUUUUUUUUCAGUUUGGCCAGAAAUUCCCACGGGGUUAGUCUACUUUCUAAGAGCUUUUGUAGUAAGUUUUUGUGAUUUGAAACACUGAGUCUGAAACAGAAGAGCUGCAUCAGAAUGCUAUAAAUUGAUUGAGAUCACCUAGAUACUGCUCAAGCAAUCCAGCUGAAGUGUGGAUUCCUCAUGGAUUCUUUCUGUUUAUGUCUGCUUUUGUGUCCACUGCAUGACUUCUGUAAAAUCAUGCUUUCCUUCUCCUGUCUCUUAUUAUCUUGUGGAUCUUCCAGGUGGGCACAGAAUUCAACCUGAGCACCUCGCAGCUGGAAUACCAACUUUCAUCUCUCAGCUGUGUAGCUACCACUUACAACAGUUCAAGUGUAUGGCAAAAAUAUCCCCUGCAGCUUUUGAUGGUUCAGACAUCAAAUUCUGCUUGUGAUACAAAUUUAUUUGCCCACUUUUUGAAAAAUAAAAUAAAAAUAAAGCAGUUGUUAUGAUCUGAUUUAAAAGAUCUAACAUAUCCUCUGAGAAAUUCAUAAUGUGGAUAUGAAAUUCCGGUGAAAUUUGAAUAAUUUAGUGUGAUGGAUGGAUUAACCAGGGGGCAAAAUGAAGGCUGCACAUUUCUAAACUUUCAACUGCUUGCUUUUGCAGCUUUAACAAAACAAUUUUUGUUUGAUCUGUACAGGUGGGUCUGUAAACAAUUCUGACUAACCUAUAUUUUAUAAAAUAUAAUCUCUUUAACGUAACUAAUAAAUUGCUGUAGUUGAGAAUAGUUGACCUAAGUCCAGUAGUUCAUUAAAAAAUAGUUAAGAGUGAGUGGAGCCUGCAGUAACAUAGCUCACCAGCAUAAAGAUUACAAAUCAAAGCAUGUUACUGGCAUCUGACAGAAGCAGUGGAUCUGCAUUAAACAACUUCAUGGAGUACUUUCAGAAUGCUGUAGUGCUGUCUCCAAGCCUGCCCUCAACAGCUUUGCUUCAACAACUCUUUCUUUGUAUUGCAAUAGACAGAGAAUAAUUGUGAGAAAGAAUAUAGAGAGGCUAUUUGACUCUUUAUUUGUAUAAAAUAUAUUCCUUUUUUAUACCUCAUUUUACUAGCAGAUACUCCACACUGACAGAAAUGGAAUAAUCUUUUCUACCAAUAACCUUACAAAUUGCUUUAGAAUGCCACACUUCACAGUGUAGUGACACUUACUCAGAGCUUCUGCAAUACCCCAUUUUGGGAAACAAAACCCAUGUCAAUUUACAUGGCAAGAGACUGAAUGCUACAUUCAUAGCUCAUGUAUAGAAUCUGACAGUUCAAAACUAAAACAAAUUAUUUGGAAGGUCAACCCUCUUCUUCAUUGACCUUCAUAUUAAUAAUGUUUGUGCUCUGGAAUGCAAAUGAAUCACGUUGCCAAAUUCUUACUCCAUCAUGAUAAAUUAACAGCUUUUUAAUUUAUGUAUCUGUGAACUCUGGUUGUUUGCAAACAUGUAAUUUCAGUCUACCUAAAUCAAUUUAACCAGGGACAAGGCUAGGAUAUGACUCACUUUCUUCAUGCCAAUGGGUAGUAUUAAGCUGAUAAAGGAAGAAAUUCUGACAGAUUUGUGUGCCCAAGAGCCUUCCUGGCUAUUUGCGGUUGACAAAAUUUCCACAGCAGCUAAUGUCUAACUGUGGGAUCCGGUGCGUGAAAAAGAUCUCAUCUGAGGGAGAUGUACACAUUUUUCAUGCAGAAAUUCAAGCUAUUGGGAUAAUUCUUUCCAAUAAUUCUUCUUUUAACCCAAUGAGUUAUUUAUUUAUUUAUGAUGUAGCUUUUACUUGGUGUCAACAGGACGAAUAAAAAUAGGUAGGUAAAUGUAGAAAUACAAGAUGCCAAUAUAAAGAGUUGUUCUUCAAGUGCCAACAGAUUAAGAAAUGUAAUUAUAGAAAGUCAAUAUGGAGUCAAGCUAUGGCAUCUGUUCUCACUACUUGGCUCUACAGAGAACAGGCUGGAAGAGUCUGAGGAAUUCUGACAUGGAAGGCAGUCAGCUUCUUGUAAAAAGCUUUCAGGCAUCCAAUGAGGAAAACUGGGUUUGUCUCUACCUUGUUCUGUCUUUCCAUUUGUGGCAGUCAGUUGGAAUUCUGGCCUAAAAGAAAGUAUUACAACUCCUGGUUUUUGCACUGUAAGUCAAGCUUUCUGGGAGGAAGAAGCAGCACAGCACAGCAUAUAGCAAACAGCAAAAUACUAGCUAGGGCUGGAACAUAACUAUGUUGUAAGGUGCAAAAAUGGAUAGCAAAAUUUGCUUUUGUUUUUCUGUAAUCCAGUGUUGCCAAAAUCAGUUAUUCUGUAUUGCAAGAUCUGUGUGCUUCAAUGAAUGCUUAGGUGAACAGUUUAUUCUUGUGCCCACUAGUUUUUCAUUGAAAUGUGCAUUGCUUUUUUCAUGUUUGGAAACGGAAAUUGAUAUGGUCAUAGUGUAAAGCAUAGGCUAGUACAUCAGAAAAAGGUAUUUUAUGUCUUUUGAAUAUAUGUAUUUUUAAAUUCGUGUAUUGUAUUAAAGAAAUUCUUGAGAAAGAAUAAACUUUACUGUAAGGCUCCAUGGGAAACAAAAAAAUUAUAAGUGCAAGUGCUUCUGAACUCUAGCAAAGGAAACUGAGCGAUACUUCAGGAUGGCUUGAAACUAAUGAGUGUGAACUGCACCUGAUUUUAAGACAUGAUACUGUUUACAACACAACCCUCAAGGAAAGAGUUGUUAAUAUGCAGUCUGGAUUGGGUUGCUUACUUUUUAUCUUUAAGAUCCAAGGACAAAACCUAGUUACUCAUCUUGGUUAUUUUUAUUCUCUUCCCAGUCACAUACUACGUCUGAAAAAAAAAAAUUACCUAUGUUGUCUCUGUUGUACAAGGUCAGUUUAGUACGAGCAUGAUCUCUAUGUAGGGAAGUCUAUUUGCAGAUCGAAAAAAUGUUCCAUGCUGUUAUUUUUGCCUUGAACAUUUCCUUGUAGUGUCCCUGUACAGCCUAUUGUCUUUCUCUGGACACUCAAAAUUACAGAAUUAUUAUAAUGUUUACAUCUGCAUGGAGCUAAAAAUGUCAGAGCUCCAUGUUCGCUACAGGAACUUCAUGCUUUUAAAUAUUUGUGCUAACAGGGUGGUAAAUACUUGUGCCCAAACAAACAUAUAUUGCUUGAUUACAAAUAUAUAUAUAUAUAUAUAUACUCAUAUAUAUGGCCAUUAUUAAUAUAUACCCACUGAGAUUUUCAAAACAACUGAGUAUUCAAGAUGAUGAUUUUUUUUCCAUAUACAAACUUAAGCCAGCAUUUUUUUCCUGCUGGAGAAGGAUGCUUAAUGUUCUGAAUCAGGCAUUUCUGAGUAAUUUCUAAAUAUAAAACUGUGAGACAUACAAAAACACUUGUUAUCACUUUUGAAAAUCUUGGGUGUUUUAUGGAGAGCUGCAUCACUUUCAGGGAUAACAGUAAGUAUGAACUGCGAGCAUUUCUGUUUUGGUAGAGUGGUAUCACUGACCAGAAGUCUCCCAGAUAACGAACUAGGAUGGUGAGGUAGCUAUAAGCUAUAGUACACUGCAGUAGAUUAUAGAAAUAUUUUCAGUAGUAUGAUCAUAGGAAAAAGGUACUGAAACUAGAAAUUGCUUGAUUCUUACUUAGUAUUUGAAAACAAUGACUCAGAAAAGCAGAAGAGAUCAGAAGGUCAAAGAGUAGAGGGAGAAAUAACAGGAGAGUUGAGCUGAGGGAAAUAAUUGGGGAGAGGCUGGAAACUGGACAGAGGAGUCAACAAGGACAACUGCAUUGUUGGGAUAAAAAUUCAAGACAAAAUGACAUGGAAGAAAUGAAGGAAAAGAGUUAAGACGUAUUUGACUUCGGAAGCAGGAGAAGGGAAAGAAAUGGGAGAAAAGUGAAGAGAAGAUGGGCAGCAGGUAGGAAAGACUAAAGAUGACUCCUAUUCAGCUGAUUGAAGAAGUUGAUAUAUCACAUGACAGUAGAAGGGAUUGGGGUGAGACAAAAACUAUGUAUAAGCAGAAGGUGUGAUAUUCAUUAGAACUGGAAAAUAAUUGCUUCUUGGUCAGGAGAGGAACUGAUUUGAAAGAGGAUGGAACAGAUUUGUAGUGAAAGAAAUUGAUUUGGUCCCAGCUUUUCACCCAAGGGCAUUCGGCAUGAACAGAAAUAGGAAAUGGAACGUGGAGGUUAUAGGUCAGGAGAAGAAUGGAGGAGGAAUAGGGACUACAAAAUAUAUGUUCAUUCAGCUGAAAAUAGUUCUAUAUUGUUUUAAAAAGAAUCUCAUAUUUCAUGAAACCCAUCAGCUUUGUCCUGACCUCAAAAGAUAAAUCUCAUGUAAAAACUGACUUAUCAGAGAACUAACAGUACGAGGUGUCCUUUCAGUCCCUGAUCCAUUUUGUCAGCAUUAUUAACACAUUUAUCUUGAAACAUGUAUUUUCAAAAAAUCAAAAUAGAAAUCACUCUGAAAGCUUCCCUUUCAAAGCAGCCACAGCCUUUAAGUAAAAGCAACCCAAACUUUUUUUUUCAAUCACCAUUUACACAAGCUGCAGCUUCUUAAGAAUAAUAAUAAUAAAAAUAGCUAAAGAGAACAUAAAUCUUUCAUUUUUCUAUCAUAACACUGUCUGAUGUGCAAGGUGAAGUAUCCAAAGGAAAUCAGGGCAGUUGAUAGCAGGAUGAGGAGGAUAUUAUUGUACUUCAAAAUAUAUUACUGCUAUAGCAUUGUGCUAUAUGGAUUCUGCAUUAUGUACAAAUAUGAAAGAAAAGACAGUCCUUACUCCCAGAUGCUUUUCAGGUGAUAGGUUAAAUGCAGAACAUUCACCAGGCUUUAAGAUUUCGGUGGCUAUGAAGUGAAAGGAUACAAGAUAAUCUAAAGCAAUGUCUGCUUUCAUAUAACAAUACAUAUUAUAAACCUUCCAUAAAAAAAACAUAUAAUAAAAUUCUUGGAAUCAGUCUAAGAGUACUUCCAGAAUCACAAAAGUAAUGUACUUGAGUGGGAUAUGAAAAGUCAUCCUGAAGGAACUGUGUGAAGGAGCCAUUUUAUAUUAAAUACUGAUUUUUUUUUUUCUUAAAUGUAAUAAAUGAUAAGUGAUUUUUUUUAUAUCAGUUUGUCCAGCUCAUCAAAAGGCUCCCUUGGAUAUAAAAAUUAGUUACCUGAAAUAAUUUUCAUUAAUUUAAAUAUUUACAGUUUAAUAACUUCUAUAGUGCAGAAUAUCCUUUUUUAGUUAGAAGAGAAUGAAAAAUGACAUGGUAGCAUAGCCAGACAAACUUUUUUUCCUAAAAGAAAAAAUAUUUCCAAAUCUGAUCCUACUAAGGUUGAAAUAAGUUUUAAAAUUCCCAUUGACUUUCCGUGUGUAAGUUGAGAAUCCUUUCAAAUUUGGAAUUUUUACUUCUUUAAUUCCUGAACAGAAGAUCCCAUUUAACGACUUUUCAGCUCUUCCACCAAACGUCAAAACAAAGAGGAAGUAGUAUAAGAAGUUUCAAUGCAGUUUUAUAGAAUUUCUUUAAAUUUGGUAACUCGACUUUUAAAGAGUCUCUGCAUACAGGGGAGAAUACACGGAGGAAAGGAUUGACAGACAGGUUAAUUUCCUUGAAAAGAAGGCUUCAAGCUACGCCAGGGAAGAUGCAGGCUGGACAUUAGGAAAUACUACUUCUCUGAAAGGGUAGUCAGGCACUGGAAUGGGCUUCUCAGAGAGGUGGUGGAGUCACCGACCCUGAAGGUGUUCAAAGAGCGUUUGGACGUUGUGUUGAGGGACAUGGUUUAGCGAGAACCGUUGAUAAAGGGUGAACAAAUGGUUGGACUGGGUGAUCCUGUGGGUCUUUUCCAACCUUAGCAAUUCUAUGAUUCUAAGAUUCAACUGUAAGUGAAUAUAGUUUUAUAUUUAUAUUUGCAUUUUAUAAGUCACAUAAUUUCCUUUCCUAUCAAUGCAUUGGAUCAGAUACUUUUAUUUUGCCUAUGUUAAUUUCAGUGACAAAAAUCCUAUGGGUUUUUCUAAAAUAAGGUAAUGUAUCAUUAGAAAAAUAUAUUAAUGGAGAUAAUUUAGAAGUGAAGGACCACACAGAGCAGCUGAGGGCAUUGGAGUCUGCUCUGCAAUUCCUUUCAGCCCCCCAAAAAACUAUUUGACGCUUAUUUGAUUUUUUGUUUAUAUUUUUUAAAAUACACCUAAAAUUAAAGAUAAUUGACUUUGCAGUGUGGAAGAUGAAGACAUUCUGAGGAAAAUCCAGUUAAGUUUUUUUUCUUUCCAGAAAUACAACUAGCUAUAUUAAUUGUUACAGAACUGUUCAAAAUUUAACUUCUGCCAUCUUGGGAUCAUUUUUAGUUGUGGAGUUAGAUAACAGUUGACAUGAAUGUCUGCUUACAAUUUUAAAAACAUCUUGGAGUGAUAAAAGAGUAUCUCGAGUAAUCUAAAAGCACUGAAAGGAUGCACUUUUUAUUAUCUAUAUAGUCACAAGAGACCAGUGUAAAGACAGCUUGCUAGAUCUCAAAGAGCAUGAAUUUAACAAUGAAACUACGUUGAGCCUAAGAUGUCCAUAACCAUUACAAGAUGAACAGUGGGAUAUUUAGAUUCUCCAUACGGGAGAUGCAGGAGAUGAUCUGGCUUCUGUUAUAUGUCAGUAUUAUGGGAAUUUUAUCAUUUGUUUGCCUUUUAUUCACAUACUAGGAAUGUAUUAAUUUCAAGAUGAGACAAAACCAUGCAGAAACUAAGGUAUUUGUCUUGUGUGAAAACUAUGUCUGAUGUUGCAAUAUACUAAUGUGUGAGAUACAUUACCUUUCUCAGGGCAUACUUGAUUUAUGUACAGAAUUAAAUUAGCAUGCAGCCAACAACAACAGCAACAACAACAACAAAAAACUGUAGGCACCCCUGAGCAGAAUAACAAACCAUAAUUAAAAUGCUGUGAUUUUAUGAUUGAUUUAUUGUCAGAAAGCAUCAUGGCUUUUUCAUCCUAAUUUUACAAUUAUGACUGUCUCCAAGCCUGACUGUUCAUUGAUUUAAUUAUAUAAACAUAUGUUUAAUUUUAAGCACAGAAGUAGUCUCGAAUGUUUUCAGACCACUAAAAGCAGUUGAGUAUGUUCUCAAGCAUCUUGCUGAGUGUCUGUAUCUUUCCACAAGCUAUGGCUAUUGUUUGGGGAAUUUGGCAUCUCACAGAAAAAUGCCUUCUGGUCAUGUUAAACAGGCUGAAUGUAAAAUAAAGUCUAAAUACAAAGUAAAUAGCUGUUUCUUGGUCUGGGGAGAGGCACAUAUGUUUAGAACUGGGCAGUGAGUUAACCUGCCAAAAUGUAAAGCCAAUAAACCAAACUUUUAGUGUACUAACUCCUUAAAGGAAUGAGGGGGAGUAUUACCUGGGGAAGGGAACAAGAAGAGGAAGACUGAAAGAAAGCUUUGGGAUGUGGUAUUACACUACAUUAAAACUGUACAGAUCAUUUUUGCUGAACAUGUCUAGGAUCUUGUGAAGCAAGCCAGGCCCUCCAGCUUUCCACUGAGCUGAAUAAAAGUUCUCAAAACCUCCAUAAGCACUGCAGAAGGGUAAAGCCAAUGCAAACAGCUCCAUUGUCCCCUGUGCUCUGCAAAUAGUAGAGAAAAUAGAAGAGUCCUGUCCAUCCUCCCAUGUUACCCUCUAGACAUUUUCAUCUAGGCUGUUCUUGUGUUGUUGCAAAGACUUAAGAAAUCGGGGUAUUUCUGAGCUCUCCUUCAUCCUUCCUGUGAUUUAGAGAUUUAUGUAGCUUUUGACUCUUCUGUAUACUUUGCGUGUAGCUUUUGGCAUGGAAACUGUCAAGUUCUUUCAGGGUAGUUGGGAGUGUUCUGUACCUUGUUGCCUAGGCAGUGUGCUGAGUAUUCCUUAAGGCCAUGCAAGCUUAAGCAUCUCUUAGUGUCUGCCUGCAAUGGUAGAGGGCUGUACUCAGUGCCUGGGGCAAUCCCUUCCAUGCCCUCAGGGGCUUCACUUCCUAGUUCUAAUGCAGUUCCUUGAAGAGUACUGCAAGUCCUUGGACUUUCUCAUUGUAUUCUUUGCCAUUUCAAAGCAGUACCUUUAAGUCCUCUCUUUAAGGCUCUUGACCCAGCUGAACUUGACUCCAUAUUGUCUUGCCUUUUUAUCUUAAGAUGGUACAUGCCUUUUUUCACUCUUCAAGGAGAAGUGCCAAAAUCCUUGGUGGGGCAGGACCACCUGUUACCUUCAGGCAGAAAACCAUGCUGUGUGGUGCCCAAGUUUGACUAGUUUUAAUUCAUGGAUUAGGAUAAGACAUUAUUAGCAUAGCCCCAUAGACUUUCAGUGCACACAUAAUAACUAAAAGCUGAUAACUGAAUUUGUUUCUGGUUCCUUUCUUAAGGUGAAAUGAGAUAUCCAUUUUUAUUCUAGUUACUGUAAUGGAAAAAAAAUAGGAAGUUAUUAUUUGUACUUGUAUAUGGGAACUGUUGAAUCACGGCCUGAACCUCUGAUUGAUCACCUGAGGCAAGCACCGAGUCAGCUGUGCUAGCACAGGUGAAGGCAAUUCACCUGUGUGACUGGAAGGGGGUGGAGCCAGGCUCCACCUCUCCUAGACCCCAUUUAAGGGCUGACUGCCAAUGAGGAAGGAUACCUUCUUGGAAAUUGCUCCUCAGGGUGUUAUUGUGAGCCUACAACACUGGUGAGCACCUUUCAUUUUUAUCUGAUUGUCUUUUCCAAUGUGGUAUUCUUACCAGCCUAAUUUCUGUGUAUACUGCAUAACAUCUGUAUACUUAUUUACCAUACAAUUUAUUAUACUAAAUCAGGAAUUUCAGAAGUGAAAUUUUCCACUGAUGCUUGGAAGAUUAAGUAUAAGUAAAGUGCUGUUCUUAAAGAACAGGCUUGUGAUACAGAAUAUGCCAAAUCAAUAUACUUAGUGGACUUUCAAAAGAGGUGUUCCUGCACUUCUGUAGCAUAGCCUUUUGCCUCCUGCCAAGGUAAUUAUCACUUUAAAUGAUUAUGUAUUUCAAUAUUUAUUUUAGUUACACUGCUUAAGACUUCAAAAGGAAUAGAGACGAAAUAAAGACCUAAAGCACUCACAAAUAAUGUCUCAUUGUCUUUGUGCUUUAUCUAUGCUUGAGCAUACCAUCUUCAUCCACUAUUCUUAUGCUGUAGACUAUAUAACAUUUAUUAAGGUUAUUAUUUCACAGUGGUACACUGACCAAGCUGAAGACUUUUACACCACCCUGACAUCAAAGGCC